AUGUUCAGGUAAUCGCUGUAGCAUCAUUGAUGGUAUAGAGGAAAGUCCAUGCUCGCACGAUCUGAGAUGAUCGUAGUGUUCGUGCCUAGCCAAGACAUAAGCUAGGGUAAUCUGGAUUUUUCUAGAUUAACGGCUAGAAAAUCACCUAAGUCUGUUUUACAGAUAGGGUUAUUUUCUUGUAAAAGUGCCAUAGAGACGAGUUUUACUGGAAACAGUAAAAGUGGAACGUGGUAAACCCCUCGAGCGAGAAACUCAAAUUUGGUAGAGGAAUUCUCUGGAUGGAAAUGAACGGAAAGAGAGACAGACUAUAAUGUCUGUAGAUAGAUGAUUACCACCGGCGUACGAGGAUAAUGAUCCGCAUGAAGUACAAUGGAUACAGAACAUGGCUUAUCGAA
rnacentral:RNase_P_RNA from 1 species